AAUGUCAGAACUUAUUUACUAUAUAUAUUUUUGGAAGAAUGUUCUAAGACCUGUUGACGAAUAUAAAGUAUCAAGAAGAGAGCUAAUUUUAUAUAUACGAUGAAUACUAUUGAGAACAAGGUUGAGAACAUCUUUUCCGCUGUUGCCAUAUGAGUUCCACUAAAAGUACAAGUCUCUACCGGUUUCCCUAACAUUGCUUUCAUUUUGGAUUCGCGUGCGCCAACAGCUUUUCACGGGGCAUCAUCGUCCUUCUAUUUACAGAUUUCGAGGGUGACCACUGUACAAAACUUUCUCUUUGUGAAAAAUAUGGAAAACAGCAUUUAUACCAAUAAUGAGAACAAGAGAUAGGCAAUUGGCAGUUUGAGAUAUGGCUUUUUUUGCGCUUAUUUGUUCCGUUAAGAUGGAAGAAGAUGUCCUCCAUUAUUAGAUUUCAGUAAUGGGAAUAUGAACUUUUUCUUUUUUGCGGGUGAUACUGUAUGAUACUUUUUCUUCUCGAAAAAUAUGGAAAACAGUGUUUAGACCAAUAAUGAAAACAGGCGUAAUUCUUAAGUAUAAUUUUGAUGAACGCUGAGCAUGGAAUUAUGAUCAGAAAAUUUAUAUAGUGGAGGAAUGAAUUGAUUGACACGGUUGUUCAUCAUGCAGCUAAUGGAAGAGAAGUUGUUCUGUUUUAGAUUAUUAAUGCACCAUUAAUGGAGUGAUGGAUGAAUCAAUCUUUGUUUCGAUAAAAUAAAAGAAGUGAAAUCGAUUUAGAGUUUUAUUGUUAAUUUGCAUUCGUUUGUAUUUUUAAGCUUCCAUAGACUAUACUUUAUAUGUGAAACAUCCAAUUGAAUUAAAUUCAUUAUCUGUCUCUUAAUCAAUAAGUAAUUAUCGCGUAUUAGAAUCAAUGCACCAUGGAAGACGAUCAAGAAUCUAAGUAUAUUUCUUCUAUAGAACAAUAAUAUCAAUCUACUGCAACUUCAACCUACUUCAUUUUCAAUUUACUUUGAUGUAAAUCUAUCUUAUUUUUGACUUAUUACGAGUCAAUCUACUCUAAUUUCAACCUAUAAUAAGGAUGAAUGUUUUGGACCGUGGAAUUUCUUAAAUAAGUGGAUGAUCGGGGUGGUUCCAGUGGUAUGCCUUGGCAAAGCGUAUCUGUAUCUAUUUUAUCACGUUGACUGCUGUGGGGGUAACCGAUGACCGGCACUCGACUUGGCUACAGCGCCGUGGAGGUCAUUGGUGACCAGCGACGCGACGAAUAGUGAAAAUAUAUAAUUAGGGUAAACAUCGAUCCAAUAAAUUUUUUAAAUAAUACCAUUGAUUCCAUAGUGAUUUAAAGAAAUUAAUGCCUUACAGAACAUGUAAUUAUAAUUUUAUCAAUACAAGGAAAAUAUACAUAUUAUUUGUGCAUAUAACGAUGAA